ACGGAGGGGGCUAGCGUUGUUCGGAAUUACUGGGCGUAAAGCGCGCGUAGGCGGAUUGUUAAGUCGGGGGUGAAAUCCCGGGGCUCAACCCCGGAACUGCCUUCGAUACUGGCAAUCUAGAGGUCGAGAGAGGUGAGUGGAAUUCCGAGUGUAGAGGUGAAAUUCGUAGAUAUUCGGAGGAACACCAGUGGCGAAGGCGGCUCACUGGCUCGAUACUGACGCUGAGGUGCGAAAGCGUGGGGAGCAAACAGG
rnacentral:rRNA from 1 species